GACGAACGCUGGCGGCGUGCUUAACACAUGCAAGUCGAACGGAAAGGCCCUGCUUUUGUGGGGUGCUCGAGUGGCGAACGGGUGAGUAACACGUGAGUAACCUGCCCUUGACUUUGGGAUAACUUCAGGAAACUGGGGCUAAUACCGGAUAGGAGCUCCUGCUGCAUGGUGGGGGUUGGAAAGUUUCGGCGGCUGGGGAUGGACUCGCGGCUUAUCAGCUUGUUGGUGGGGUAGUGGCUUACCAAGGCUUUGACGGGUAGCCGGCCUGAGAGGGUGACCGGCCACAUUGGGACUGAGAUACGGCCCAGACUCCUACGGGUGGCAGCAGUGGGGAAUAUUGCACAAUGGGCGGAAGCCUGAUGCAGCAACGCCGCGUGCGUGAUGACGGCCUUCGGGUUGUAAACCACUUUCGCCUGUGACGAAGCGUGAGUGACGGUAAUGGGUAAAGAAGCACCGGCUAACUACGUG
rnacentral:rRNA from 1 species